CAAAACGCUACGCUGUCGCUUUAAGAAUCGGAGAAAGGGGCGCGUUUGCUGUUUUGCUCAUUUGAAUAUCAAGGAGUUGUGCGGGGCCGGGCUUCUCGGAUGUUUUUGGUCCUCAGUGGUGUGCGUUGAGUAGUUGUGGCUGACUCGCGUUUGGACAUGGAGCUGCACAUUCUGGACCACCGGCUGCGGGUCACCAGCAUCAACAAGAGCGGCUUGUCGCACUUCACGCACCCGCUCAUCAAGCUAAUCUUCCUCCGCCGCCGGACACGAUGCAAGUUCUUCAGUAUGACGGAGACCCCCGAGAACUACACGGUCUUGUUGGAUGAGGAGGGCUUCAAAGAGCUGGAGGCCUCGUCGCAUCUGCAGGCAGAGGGCUCGGUGUGGCUGCCGCUCAACGUGCUCUCCGACGCCGUCACCGCCUCGCCCGGCUCACAGGCGCCGGGCGUCACCAAGAUUGCCGAGUCGGUCAUCGCGCCGUUGGCCCGCCGCCACGUCUCCGUCUUCAUGCUGUCCACCUACCAGACCGACUUUGUCCUGGUGAGAGAGAAGGACCUGCCAGUGGUGGUGGCCACUCUGGAGGAGGAGUUCAACAUCUUCCGCGAAGUUGGAGGAGAGUCGCUCCUCGUCCGCGGCCGCGACAUCGCCGACGGCCCGCACAAGAACGCUAAACAAGCCACGCAGGCCGGUCUUCAGCCGGUGCUCAUUCCUCAGAACCGCUUCUGCGUCAUGUCUUUGGACCCCGACACGCUGCCCUCCAUCGCCACCACGCUCAUCGACGUGCUCUUCUACUCUGGCAGCCCCAAAGAAGACGAGAUGCCGUCUUCCGGCUCAGACUUGGAGCGGAUCAAGUUUUUCUCCUUCUCCCUGAUUGACGGUUACGUCUCGCUCGUCAUGGACACGGACACUCAAAGACGUUUCCCCGCCGACCUCCUCUUCACCAGCUCGUCCGGGGAACUGUGGCGAAUGGUGCGAAUCGGAGGACAACCCCUCGGCUUCGACGAGUGCGGCAUCGUGGCCCAGAUCUCACAGCCGCUGGCCGACUGCGACAUCUCCGCCUACUACAUCAGCACCUUCAGUUUCGACCACGCUUUGGUUCCCGAAGAGGACAUCGCUCGUGUAAGCGACGUGCUGCACAAGCAGCGGAUGGACCUGACCACCAGCUGAGCCCUGACCUCCUGAUGUCACAAGCACUUUUCGCAGUUUUUUCCUCAACACCUGAGGCAACAACGUGUCUUAUUAAUGGUUGUGGGAGUUGAUGAUGAUGCCGGUGAUGAUGAAGGUAUGAGGAUGCUCGGUAAUAAAAAGACACGCGGCGCAAGUGAGAAGCAACAUAAAGGAGAUCCGCCAUGGCCUCUGCGCUGAAAGGACUGCUGCACUUUGCGCUGUUGGUUGUGUUGUUAGUGCCGGAAUGUCGCCCGGCGCCGCUGGCCGACAUCUCUUGCCAAGACAACUUCUCCACCCUCAUCAACAUCGUCAACACGCUCGGCGCCCAAACUGCGCACCUGCUCGACGAAUACAUGGUCUUCCACGGCCUGAGCGGCGAGCCUCCCCAAGUCCCCGACUACGCCGUGAAUGGCUCCAACUUCUUCGAGCAACUUCAGGAUAUCUACGCCAAGAACGUGCUGUUCCAAGUGCUUCUCGCCAAGGUGGAAAAGUACCAGAACGAAGACUGGGGCAACCCCAGGAACGUCGCCGAGCCGCUCGAACAGGUCAAGGGGAAUCUUAUGUUCUCAAGCGCCAUAUUGAUGAAAUUGGCCCGCCAAGUCCAGCCGGAGGUGGAGCUGGCGACAGAGGAGCCUCCACACGAGACCCACGAUCACAGUUGGGCUAAGAAGUCCUAUGGUUGGAAAGUCAUUGCAGGCCUGAAAAACUGGGUGGCAGAUGUCAACAGGGUCCUGAAGGUGAUGCGGGCCCCGUGUGACAAUCCCAGAACCGUCGGGGCCUCGAAAUCCAGCCCGAGGAGGUCCCGGGAUCGCUUCUCGUGCUGAUUAUCGCGCUAUGCUCCGCUUGUGGGAGAAAACCUGAUUGGGUCCAGAACUGACACUGACCACCUGGCGUGCCUGAAGGCAAAACUGUCAUUAGGAUGCAGAGCUUUGACCAGGCUCUGGCUCCAAAAGGUAGCCAGACGAAAAAAUGCUGAGGGUGCAGAGGUUAGCCGGUUCAAAACCUUCCUUUCGACAUUUCCCGGCCGGUGAUGUAGUAGGUGGCGCAGCUGCACGUCAAGAGUUUUGCUCAGGCCGUGGGGAAAAGUGGAGGCGAGUCUGCUGAUCCGGAUCCAUUCAUCCAGGAACUGUCCAAUUGCCUGGCCCUGCCAAAUGGUCUGAUGAAGCUGCGGAACAACAAAAUGAAGCCAGAAUCGGUCAUCUGUUGAGGUUGUGGGGAAAAAACUGAUUUGAUGGCAAUAAAUGCGAGAAUGCGGAUCCAGAAGGUAGCCUGACGCCUUUGCACAUGUUGCUUUGCUACGAGAACCUAAUUUGCCCUCAACAAGUCUUCCUCGGUCCACGGCCCAAAGAGUUGACGCAGGGUACUGCGGGUUGCAGAUCUCCGCCACAGCCCCGCAAGCGUAGUUGGAUCCGGUCCAGUCCGCAAAACCUUUUGCACUUUCCUCUGAUGAGGUCAAUCUAGUCACUGUUCAUUAUGAAGAUUAUUUAAUGUGUUGUUAUUGCUCUAUUUAUUGUUUUAAAUUAAAGCGCAGAGUUUUCUAAAUGAC